CAUAAAUAAUUAGUCAGAAAAUUAGUUUAUUCAGAAAGCAGCUAGACGAGAUGCAAUAUUUCAUGAUUAAAUGUGAGCUCAACAACUCUAAAGAAAUUAAUUAAACAUAUAUAAUCCUUCGCAAAGCAGAGUAAAAAAGUGUAGCUUUUAAGUGCCCCCUUGAAUUUUCUUAAUUACUGUUCCAUUUUGAGGUCGCUCUUUGGAAAUUAAAGCUUUAAUCAAUUUUCGUUGAACAUUUACUAGAGCAGCCAGUGAGGAAUCCAAAGUACUCAGUUUUUGUAAAAAAUUGUUUCUCUCGUUAUUUAUCGAAAAAUUUUUAUCUUUCUGUUCUAUUGUAAAACCCGGUUUGUCAUUUAAUGAGUUGUUUGCAGUAAGAUUUGAAUUUACUCUGUGGUUUUUAACAAGCUCAACAUACCGCUCCUGAGCAUCGCCCAAUGCAGUCAUAAGGUCUGACAAUUGCUGUUUAGUGGAUGAUAAAACACCAUCUCGUUGUUUAAGUUCAAGUUGUGCUUCAGCAUACAAACGAUUGAUAGAAUCAGAAUCAAAGUUAUGUCUGUGUAUCGAAGCAACUGUGCUUUCGUCUCUGUCAUUAUUACUUUCCUGAAUUGUUCUAUUUCCUUGAAUGAUUUCUGCUUCCUUUAAGUUGGAUUUUUCGGCGAGAUUUGACAGUGUGAGGGAAUGCUCGCCUGACCAUACGUUAGAAUGACAAUUAUUAUAGUCUAAGUUAUUGUUAAUUCUGGCUCCACAAACGCAACGAGACAAAGCAUCUUUAUAAAUAUACAGCUGUCUUUUCAUUUCAUCAACAGAAAGUUCUGAGUUUACUACCGCUUUGUUUUUGAUGCUCUUUGCACGAUGUCCAAACCUAAGAGUAGAUAAGGUCUCUGUUGCAUUGUAUGAAUCUGGUGAACAGUUAAUAAUUAGAGUGGUCCGAGAAUUUCCACCAAGAGACUCUUUUAAAAUACGCGUUAACUUGGAAUCUCUAUAAGGAACAUGUGAUAAUUUGCUGUCUGUGAGAGAAUUAAUAACCAUUCCAAGAGUUGAAAGAGAACGGUUUAUUUUCUUUGCUUCUUCUAAGGUUUGCCCGACUGCUCCACUUUUUCCUACGCUUUCGGAACCUGCCAAGUCAACUAAAAACAACCGGCCUCGUCGAGUUUCGCCGGACUCAGUGUCCGUUUGGACAACUUCGAGUACAAAAAUAGAAUGAGACCGUGAACUUUGCGCAUUCAUCGACGUACUUGCAACGGCACGUGACCCCAUACCUUUAUUUAAAAUAUCCAAUGCCUCCGUUUCACUUGAUACGUAAAUCGUUUUUAAACCUUGAACAUAAACUCCCUGAAGUUUAUCUUCAUGAACCGUCAGUCUGUCAUUUUUUUCUGUAAAUCAUGGUUAAUUUUGCUGAAAUUAAAUACGAACGUCGCAAAAUUUCUACGGCAUUUGAAGGCUUACCGGAAAGUAGAUCAUGAAUUUUUUCCAUGUAGAUUUCCAUGUAUGAUACCUUCACUUCGUAUUCAGUAGUAGAUGGUGAAUCGCGGAUUUUGUCAAAAAUACGCCUGAGCAUUCUUGGAGUCAUUCCUUCUUUUUCGAAAUUAUUUUCAAUACCCUAAAGAUUGUUAGAAAAGUGUGCCAGGUGAAAUUGUGAAUAUACCAUCAUGGUGUAUGUUUUGCCGGAUCCUGUCUGUCCAUAGGCUAGUACUGUUCCGUUAUAACCCAAGAAUAAGUCUAUAAUAUAUUAGUACAUAUUUAAUGAAAUUCAGAACAACUUGAAUGUGAUUCGAACAAUGUAUUAAAAUGGCAAUUCGUUUCAAAUGAAGCGUCAAAACGAGCGCAUAUAAAAAAAGGCUAUGCUAUAAUUUCAUACAAGCUGUUGCUGACAACGAUGAAAUUAAUCCGUUCAACGCCGUGUAAAGUUUUACUAUCAUUCACAUACCAUCGACUGUCGAUUCAAUUGAAUACGAAAAUAUAUCAUUCUGAGUGCUAGAAGGAUGAAAAACACGAUCGAAUACAAAGUUUCCUGAGUAAUCACUAGUCUUUUAAUCAUGUCAGCCGAAUUCUAAAGUAAAGAUCAAUUGUUGAAACCUACCUCGAUAUGAACAGUAGAAUCGUUUAAUGGGUAUAUCACAUUAUUUCCUCCAAGGUCUUGUUCCAA
rnacentral:lncRNA from 1 species